rnacentral:rRNA from 1 species
GUGGAUUAGAUACCCUGGUAGUCCGCGCCGUAAACGGUGGGCACUAGUUGUGGGAACCUUCCACGGUUUCCGCGACGCAGCUAACGCAUUAAGUGCCCCGCCUGGGGAGUACGAUCGCAAGAUUAAAACUCAAAGGAAUUGACGGGGCCCCGCACAAGCAGCGGAGCAUGCGGCUUAAUUCGACGCAACGCGAAGAACCUUACCAAGGCUUGACAGUUAGAGAAAAGCUACAGAGAUGUAGUGUCCGCAAGGGCUCUAUUCAGGUGGUGCACGGCUGUCGACAACU